rnacentral:rRNA from 1 species
AAUAGAUACCCCGGUAGUCCUAGCCGUAAACGAUACUCGCUAGGUGUCGGCCACGGUGCGACCGUUGUCGGUGCCGUAGGGAAGCCGUGAAGCGAGCCACCUGGGAAGUACGGCCGCAAGGCUGAAACUUAAAGGAGCUGGCGGGGGAGCACCACAACGGGUGGAGCUUGCGGUUUAAUUGGAUUCAACGCCGGAAAUCUUACCGGGACCAACAGCAAUAUGAAGGCCAGGCUGAAGACUUUGCCGGAUUAGCUGAGAGGUGGUGCAUGGCCGUCGUCAGUUCGUACUGUGAGGCAUCCUGUUAAGUCAGGCAACGAGCGAGACCCACGCCCACAGUUGCCAGCGUACUCUCUGGAGUGACGGGUACACUGUGGGGACCGCCGCUGCUAAAGCGGAGGAAGGAAUGGGCAACGGUAGGUCAGUAUGCCCCGAAUAUCCCGGGCUACACGCGAGCUACAAUGGUUGGUACAAUGGGUAUCUACCCCGAAAGGGGACGGGAAUCUCCUAAAACCAAUCUUAGUUCGGAUUGAGGGCUGCAACUCGCCCUCA